rnacentral:rRNA from 1 species
UACGGGGGGGGCAAGCGUUGUUCGGAAUUACUGGGCGUAAAGGGCUCGUAGGUGGCCAACUAAGUCAGACAUGAAAUCCCUCGGCUUAACCGGGGAACUGCGUCUGAUACUGGAUGGCUUGAGAUUGGGAGAGGGAUGCGGAAUUCCAGGUGUAGCGGUGAAAUGCGUAGAUAUCUGGAGGAACACCGGUGGCGAAGGCGGCAUCCUGGACCAACACUGACGCUGAGGAGCGAAAGCCAGGGGAGCAAACGGG